CGAACGAAGCACAUACGGCGGAACUUUUCGGAGGGAAGAUGUAUGUGACUGAGUGGCGGACGGGUGAGUAACGCGUGGGUAACCUGCCCCAUAGAGGGGGACAACAGUUGGAAACGACUGCUAAUACCGCAUAAGAAAGAAUUGCCGCAUGGCAGUUUUUUGAAAGAUUUAUCGCUAUGGGAUGGACCCGCGUCUGAUUAGCUAGUUGGGAGGGUAACGGCCUACCAAGGCAACGAUCAGUAGCCGGCUUGAGAGAGUGAACGGCCACAUUGGGACUGAGACACGGCCCAGACUCCUACGGGAGGCAGCAGUGGGGAAUAUUGCACAAUGGGGGAAACCCUGAUGCAGCGACGCCGCGUGAGUGAAGAAGUAUUUCGGUAUGUAAAGCUCUAUCAGCAGGGAAGAAACCCACCCUCCGGGGUGGCUGACGGUACCUGAC
rnacentral:rRNA from 1 species